AGGAGGAUGAGAAAGCAGAAAAUUGGAGAAAUAAAAUGUGUAUUAGAACUUGAAAUGACUGUGCUAGCAGUUGAAUUUCUAUUAAUAAAACUUGGCACGUCGGUGACUUUGAACUAGAAACAGAUCGCAUGACUCGAUUCAAUUUUUCUUCGAUAACAGUUAAAGAAUCCGAAUUUUCCAAAAAUACGGUCAGAUAAAAUACACUUACGCGAGCGUGCAAAUUUAUUUCAAGGCUGAUAAUUGACGUAAACAGCGUGAAUUAUGUCAGAAUGAGGCGUGCGAUAAAAUUAACCGUGAAUUCACGUUCCUCUUCUGGCAGUGUACAAUGGUGAAUUGUGAACGACGUAAUAAAUAGAAGAUACGAUUUGAUGCCAUCAUCACCGUAUCAGUCACGGAUUACACGGAUUAAGAAAACAAGAAAUAGCAACAAACACGAGCACGAAGAUAGAUACGUAUCGAUAAACGAUAUUUCAUGAUACUCGCGUCAUGCUUUUUUUUUCUAUUCACGCUAUCCAGUUUUUAUCGCGAGCAGCGUUUUAACCCGUUACAAUCGGAUAGUUAAAUAAGAAGAGAAGAGGAAUUUUUCUUCGCUACUUCGGAGAAGAUUAAUCGCGUCCUGGGAGAUCUCGCGCUAUCGACGAAAAAGAGCACGAGCGAUCGAUUUGACAGGUAACGGAACACCGAUUGAGAAGAAUACCAGGUUAUCUUCCGGGAUGAUGUCAGACUCCGAACCGACAUAGCUAUUUCGAAAUAGUUUCCUCUACGUAAGUUUUCUUUAAAUAUUUACGUCGACGGAAGAUCGUUAAAAUUCGCAAGAAAUUUUCGACCGUUCCAGUUUCAACUGGUAAUUCCUUCGCUUUUCUAUUAUCUGGAUUUUGAUGAAAUAGUUUGAGUAAUUUCGAAGCAACAAAAGGAUUUAUGGUUGGAGGAUUCAACAUAAAGGGAAGCAUUACAGAACGUCAACUGGCGCGUGCUGUUCGAAGGAUCAGCUGAGUCCGCGACGGCGCGGUUUCUCGCGAUAGGAAAACCAGCUCACUGAGCGGGUACACGCGGAUGGACGAUUCUCUUUGCUAUCCCGCCGACGAAGAGGACGAGAACGGCCGAGCAACGUGUUCGUGCGAUUCCGUCGACUCGUUCUGCUUCUUAUAAGGUCACGUUCAACCGGAAACGGACAUCAGCGUGUGCAAAAUAAUUCGUCACUCAGCAUGCAGAUAACUUAUGGCUAAGGCAAAAGACAAUUAGCGAAGAACGAAUAACUUUGCGAAUGAAUGAAAAUGGAAAAAUUCCUUCGUGAGAAAUUUUUUCAUUUCUUUUCAAUUCCAAGAUCGUUCGUCUACCAUCGUCCCUUACACGUCCAUUCAUAUAUAUGUAUGUAUGUGCUAAAUUACAAAAAUUCUUGUAUUAUACAUGUUUCUGUGCGCAAGCCACGUUCAAACAAUUUGUCACUCUUACGUUUCGAACUUUGAACACCCAAAUUUAUUCACUGGCACUUCGAACAAAAUACCGGAGAUAAAUUACAAGCGUGUUAUAAAAAUUUCAAAGCAAGAAUUUUAAAUUGAAAUUUUUAUAACGAAACCAUCGCGUCUCAAAGAAUAUAUUUUCAAACUCCAUCGACAGAGAAGAUUUAUAUUUGUAUCAUGCUAAUACUUGCAUAUCAGUCUUCGUAAAUCACUUACAAAAGUAAUUAUUUACACACGCUAGUUCGUGAAAUGUUUAACUAGAUCUAAACGAACAAGAUCUCCGUCAGUUACCACUCUUACGAUUAUUUAUUCAAGUACAAUUUUCGUCGGUAUUCUUCAUAAUGAAAUAUCAAGAAUCGACGAUGUCACGUGUAAUUCAGCUGGAUAAAAAUCAAUGAUUUGUUGAACCGAUUUAGGCUAGACUUUCAGAUUAAAAAUGAACGCUUCUAAAUUGAAAGUAUCGUGGACAAAUGCAGUUGAAACGAAUAAAAGAAUCGCUCGAUACAAGGAUAAUCGUUUCUCUGUAUCGAACGAUGAGGAUA